rnacentral:rRNA from 1 species
GAUCGGUGACAGGUGGUGGCAUGGUUGUCGUCAGCUCGUGUCGUGAGAUGUUGGGUUAAGUCCCGCAACGAGCGCAACCCCUAUUGUUAGUUGCCAUCAUUCAGUUGGGCACUCUAGCGAGACUGCCGGUAAUAAACCGGAGGAAGGUGGGGAUGACGUCAAAUCAUCAUGCCCCUUAUGACCUGGGCUACACACGUGCUACAAUGGUUGGUACAACGAGUUGCGAGUCGGUGACGGCGAGCUAAUCUCUUAAAGCCAAUCUCAGUUCGGAUUGUAGGCUGCAACUCGCCUACAUGAAGUCGGAAUCGCUAGUAAUCGCGGAUCAGCACGCCGCGGUGAAUACGUUCCCGGGCCUU